rnacentral:rRNA from 1 species
UACAUAGGUUACAAGCGUUAUCCGGAUUUACUGGGCGUAAAGCGAGCGCAGGCUGAUUUACAAGUCUAGUGCUAAAUGCACUUGCUCAACGAGUGUAUACAUUAGAAACUGUAAGUCUAGAGUGCGAUAGGGAGUUUUGGAACUCCAUAUGGAGCGGUGGAAUGUGUAGAUAUAUGGAAGAACACCUGUGGCGAAAGCGAAAACUUAGGUCGCAACUGACGCUUAGGCUCGAAAGUGUGGGGAUCAAAUA